rnacentral:rRNA from 1 species
UACAGAGGUCUCAAGCGUUGUUCGGAUUCAUUGGGCGUAAAGGGUGCGUAGGUGGCGCUGUAAGUCAGGUGUGAAAUUUCGGAGCUUAACUCCGAAACUGCAUUUGAUACUGCGGUGCUUGAGGACUGGAGAGGAGACUGGAAUUUACGGUGUAGCAGUGAAAUGCGUAGAUAUCGUAAGGAAGACCAGUGGCGAAGGCGGGUCUCUGGACAGUUCCUGACACUGAGACACGAAGGCCAGGGGAGCAAACGGG